rnacentral:lncRNA from 1 species
GAUGUUGAAACGGGUACAAGCAUAACAGUACCUCAGAAAAAGUGGUUGCAUUUUAUUUCACCCAUUUUUGUUCAAGCUCUUACAUUAACAUUCUUAGCAGAAUGGGGUGAUCGCUCUCAACUAACUACAAUUGUAUUGGCAGCUAGAGAGGUGAGUGAUAUUUGAGAGGAGACUGUUUAAAAUGAAACGUAAUUAUUAUUACUUUGUUCCAGAAAACACUGGACACACUGAAGUGGGCCACAGCAUUCCUUCAUAUGCAAGACUGUUUUACAUCUGAUAAUUCAGCUGCUCUCUAAAAUUGGCCUUCUCCCAGUUCCUGCUACCUGCAGGACCCCUAUGGUGUAGCCGUGGGUGGAACUGUGGGGCACUGCCUGUGCACGGGAUUGGCAGUAAUUGGAGGAAGAAUGAUAGCACAGAAAAUCUCUGUCAGAACUGUGACAAUCAUAGGAGGCAUCGUUUUUUUGGCGUUUGCAUUUUCUGCACUAUUUAUAAGCCCUGAUUCUGGUUUUUAACAAGCUGUUUGUUCAUCUAUAUUUAGUUUAAAAUAGGUAGUAUUAUCUUUCUGUACAUAGUGUACAUUACAACUAAAAGUGAUGGAAAAAUACUGUAUUUUGUAGCACUGAUUUUGUGAGUUUGACCCAUUAUUAUGUCUGAGAUAUAAUCAUUGAUUCUAUUUGUAACAAGGAGUUUUAAAAGAAACCUGACUUCUAAGUGUGGGUUUUUCUUCUCUCCAACAUAAUUAUGUUAAUAUGGUCCUCAUUUUUCUUUUGGUGCAGAACCGUUGUG